rnacentral:rRNA from 1 species
CUACGGGUUGCUGCAGUGGGGAAUAUUGGACAAUGGGGGAAACCCUGAUCCAGCAAUGCCGCGUGUGUGAAGAAGGCCUGCGGGUUGUAAAGCACUUUCGGUUGGGAGGACUGCUUCUAGCACUAAUAUUGUUGGAAGUUGACGUUACCUUCAGAAGAAGCACCGGGUAACUCCGUGCCAGGCAGCCGCGGUAAUACGGAGGGUGCAAGCGUUAAUCGGAAUUACUGGGCGUAAAGCGCGCGUAGGCGGCUAGAUCAGUCGGGUGUGAAAGCCCCGGGCUUAACCUGGGAACUGCAUCCGAUACUGUCUAGCUUGAGUACAGGAGAGGAGAGUGGAAUUCCACAUGUAGCGGUGAAAUGCGUAGAUAUGUGGAGGAACACCAAUGGCGAAGGCAGCUCUCUGGCCUGAUACUGACGCUGAGGUGCGAAAGCGUGGGGAGCGAACAGGAUUAGAUACCCCCGUAGUC